GUAAAGCUGUCGCUAGUGGGGAUCGGCCCCCGCGGUGCAUUAGCUAGUUGGUAAGGUAAAGGCUUACCAAGGCGAUGAUGCAUAGCCCGAGUUGAGAGACUGAUCGGCCACAUUGGGACUGAGACACGGCCCAAAAACUCCUACGGGAGGCAGCAGUAGGGAAUCUUCCACAAUGGACGCAAGUCUGAUGGAGCAACGCCGCGUGAGUGAAGUAAGGUUUUCGGAUACGUAAAGCUCUGUUGUUGGUGAAGAAGGAUAGAGGUAGUAACUGGCCUUUAUUUGACGGUAAUCAACCAGAAAGUCACGGCUAACUACGUGCCCAGCAGCCGCGGGUAAU
rnacentral:rRNA from 1 species